GACGAACGCUGGCGGCGUGCUUAACACAUGCAAGUCGAGCGGUAAGGCCUUUCGGGGUACACGAGCGGCGAACGGGUGAGUCACACGUGGGUGAUCUGCCCUGCACUUCGGGAUAAGCCUGGGAAACUGGGUCUAAUACCGGAUAUGACCUCCUAUCGCAUGGUGGGUGGUGGAAAGAUUUAUCGGUGCAGGAUGGGCCCGCGGCCUAUCAGCUUGUUGGUGGGGUAAUGGCCUACCAAGGCGACGACGGGUAGCCGACCUGAGAGGGUGACCGGCCACACUGGGACUGAGACACGGCCCAGACUCCUACGGGAGGCAGCAGUGGGGAAUAUUGCACAAUGGGCGAAAGCCUGAUGCAGCGACGCCGCGUGAGGGAUGACGGCCUUCGGGUUGUAAACCUCUUUCAGCAGGGACGAAGCGCAAGUGACGGUACCUGCAGAAGAAGCACCGGCUAACUACGUG
rnacentral:rRNA from 1 species